CAGUCGCCGCGGGAAUACGGAGGGUGCAAGCGUUAAUCGGAAUUACUGGGCGUAAAGCGUGCGUAGGUGGUGGUUUAAGUCCGUUGUGAAAGCCCUGGGCUCAACCUGGGAAUUGCAGUGGAUACUGGGUCACUAGAGUGUGGUAGAGGAUAGUGGAAUUUCCGGUGUAGCAGUGAAAUGCGUAGAGAUCGGAAGGAACAUCUGUGGCGAAGGCGACUAUCUGGGCCAACACUGACACUGAGGCACGAAAGCGUGGGGAGCAAACAGGAUUAGAUACCCCGGUAGUCCCUGUCUCUUAUAC
rnacentral:rRNA from 1 species